AGCAGUAGCCGCGGUAACACCAGCACCUCGAGUGGUCAGGAGGUUUAUUGGGCCUAAAGCAUCCGUAGCCGGUUGCAUAAGUUUUCGGUUAAAUCUAUGCGCUUAACGUAUAGGCCGCCGAAAAUACUGUGCAGCUAGGGAGUGGGAGAGGUACACGGUACUCGAUAGGAAGGGGUAAAAUCCUUUGAUCUAUUGAUGACCACCUGUGGCGAAGGCGGUGUACCAGAACACGUUCGACGGUGAGGGAUGAAAGCUGGGGGAGCAAACCGGAUUAGAUACCCCAGUAGUCCCUGUCUCUUAUAA
rnacentral:rRNA from 1 species